rnacentral:rRNA from 1 species
AAGGAUCAUUACACAAAUAUGAAGGCGGGCUGGAACCUCUCGGGGUUACAGCCUUGCUGAAUUAUUCACCCUUGUCUUUUGCGUACUUCUUGUUUCCUUGGUGGGUUCGCCCACCACUAGGACAAACAUAAACCUUUUGUAAUUGCAAUCAGCGUCAGUAACAAAUUAAUAAUUACAACUUUCAACAACGGAUCUCUUGGUUCUGGCAUCGAUGAAGAACGCAGCGAAAUGCGAUAAGUAGUGUGAAUUGCAGAAUUCAGUGAAUCAUCGAAUCUUUGAACGCACAUUGCGCCCUUUGGUAUUCCAAAGGGCAUGCCUGUUCGAGCGUCAUUUGUACCCUCAAGCUUUGCUUGGUGUUGGGCGUCUUGUCUCUAGCUUUGCUGGAGACUCGCCUUAAAGUAAUUGGCAGCCGGCCUACUGGUUUCGGAGCGCAGCACAAGUCGCACUCUCUAUCAGCAAAGGUCUAGCAUCCACUAAGCCUUUUUUUCAACUUUUGACCUCGGAUCAGGUAGGGAUACCCGCUGAACUUAA